rnacentral:rRNA from 1 species
GUAGUAGCAAAUACUCUAGCGAGACCCUGGAGGGCUGAGGUGGAGAAGGGUUUCGUGUGAACAGCCGUUGCACACGAGUCAGUCGAGCCUAAGCUCUAGGAGAGAUCCGAUGUAUGGCGCCUGCGGCCCACGAGCGAAAGGGAAUCCGGUCCCUAUUCCGGAACCCGGCCGCGGAACCGUCUCACGUCGGGCCCCCGGCCUUUGUGCCGGAAGCUCGUCGGGGUAACCCAAACUGACCCGGAGAAGCCGUCGGGAGGUCGGGGAAGAGUUUUCUUUUCUGUUUGAGCGCUCGAGUUCCCUGGAAUUGCCUAGCGCAGAGAGAGGGAAUGGAGCGCGUAGAGCACCGCAGUUGCGGCGGUGUCCCGACACGCCCCUCGGACCUUGAAAAUCCGGGGACGGGCCACGUGGAGGUAUCGCGCCGGAUCGUACCCAUAUCCGCAGCAGGUCUCCAAGGUGAAGAGCCUCUAGUCGAUAGACUAAUGUAGGUAAGGGAAGUCGGCAAAUUGGAUCC